rnacentral:lncRNA from 1 species
GUUCAUUCCUCCCGGUGGGUUCGUGGUCUCGCUGGCCUCAGGAGAGAAGCUGCAGACCUUCGCGGUGAGUGUAGCUCAUAAAGGCAGUGUGGACCCAAAGACUCAGCAGCAGCAAGAUUUAUUGCAAAGAGCGAAAGAACAAAGAUUCCACAUUGUGGAAGGGGACCACAGUGGGUUGCCACUUCCAGCUUCGGCAUUCUGCUUUUAUUCCCUUAUCUGGCCUCACCCACAACCUGCUGAUUGGUUAAUUUUACAGAGAGCUGAUUGGUCCGUUUUGACAGGGUGCUGAUUGGUGUGUUUACGAUCCCUGAGCUAGACACAAAAGUUCUCCAGGUCCCCACUAGAUUAGCUAGACACAGAGUACUGAUUGGUGCAUUCACAAACCCUGAGCUAGACACAGGGUGCUGAUUGGUGCAUUUACAAACCUUGAGCUAGACACAGAGCGCUGAUUGGUGCAUUCACAACCCCUUAGCUAGACAUAAAGGUUCUCCAAGUCCCCACUAGACUCAGGAGCCCAGCUGGCUUCACCCAGUGGAUCCCGCACCGGGGAGCUGGUGGAGCUGUGGGUCAGUCCCGUGAGGUGCGCUGGCACUCCUCAGCCCUUGGGUGGUCGAUGGGACUGGGUGCCGUGGAGCAGGGGGCGACGCUUGUCCGGGAGGCUUGGUUGGUGCAGGAGCCCACGGCGUGGGGGAGGCUCAGGCAUGGCGGGCUGCGGGUCCCGAGCCCUGCCCCGCGGGGAGGCAUCUGAGGCCAGGUGAGAAUUUGAGCGCCUGCCGGCACUGCUGGGGGACCCGGCGCACCCUCCGCAGCUGCCGGCCCGGGUGCUAAGCCUUACUUCACUGCCCCGGGCGGGCGGCUCCGCCGGCUGCUCUGAGUGCUGGGCCGCGGAGCCCACGCCCACCCGGAACUCGCGCUGGCCCGGAAGCGCCGCGCGCAGCCUCGGUUCCCGCCCGUGCCUCUCCCUCCACACCUCCCCGCAACUGAGGGAGCCGGCUCCGGCCUCGGCCAGCCCAGAAAGGGGCUCACACAGUGCAGGGCCGGGCUGAAGGGCUCCUUAAGGGCGGCCAGAGUUGGCGCCAAGGCUGAGGAGGUGCCCAGAGCGAGCGAGGGCUGCCAGGGCUGCUAGCAGGCUGUCACCUCUCAAUAGCAGUUUUGUAUAUGGGAUCUAGCCCCUCCCUAAGAGGUUGAUUCUAAGGAAGCCAACAGCCGUGUUGUGAGUACCCAAUGGAAAGUCUGUUGUGGCAGAAAACUGAUGUCUCCAGCCAACAGCACUGAGGCCCUGAGACCUGCCAACUGUCAUGUUACAUCUCAAGGAGAAGGAUUGCCAGAUCAAAAGUCUUGCAGUUAACCAGGCGUGGUGGCAGAUACCUGUAAUCCCAGCUAUUCGGGAGGCUGAGGCAGGAGAAUCGCUUGUACCCGGGAGGCAGAGGUUGCAGUGAGCUGAGACCGCGCCAUUGACUCCUGCCUGAUGACAAGAGAGAAUCUACGUCUCAACAACAACAACACGCUUGGGCACUGUAUUAACUCCAUAAUCGCCUCUGUGCUCUUUCCCCUGUGGACAAUAACUACCAUUUCAUCCUGGACACCCAUUGUUUGCCUGGACCACACCUUGUUAUGACCAUAACCCUCAGUCAGACUCAACCUUCCUUCAAGAUCUGCAGAUCUAAAUUUUAUUGGGAACAGCUAGUUUGACAAGCAUAGACCAGAUGUCCAGUUGUCAUUCAUUCAGCAGGAGCAGCAAGAUUCAAUCAUGUUUUUAUUAUAUUAUUUCCUGAAACUUGUGGCUGUAACAAUGAAGUUUGAGGUAGGUACUGUUCACCAAAACAUAGAAGAGAUUCCAAUUGAUGCUCACUACUAAUUAGUGUUCAUUAAAGCAUAACAUACCCUAGAUUGUUUCUCUUGGAUUACUUAUCUGUACUUGUGUAUUCAUUCAUUUGUUCAUUCAUUCACUCAUCCAUCCAACUAUCUAUCUGUCCAUCCAUUUAUUCAUUUUCAAACUAAGUUUUAGGGCUGGCACUGUGAUAAAUGCUAUUCACAGUCAUUAAUCAAUAGUUAUAGUUAUUAUUUAAAAGUGUAUAGAAUAGCAGAAGGUGGAGACAUUUUCAUAUAAGUUAGAAAGUGCUAUAAUUAUCUCUUGGUUUAUGUGUUAUAACUGAGACAGCACAAAGAACAGCUUAUUAACUUUGUCUAAUAAAGUGUAGGUAGUAGUAAAAUUUAAGCUGAGUCUUAGAGAAUAUAUAUGGAUUUUUUAAAGGAAGAAAAACAAUAGCAUAUGCAAAACCUUAAAAGGAAGGAAGGGCUUUAUGAGUUUUGGAAAUAAGGAAAAGAAAAGGAUGAUGAGUUUGGAAGAAUGGUGGGAAACAGGCAUAGAGAGGUGGAUUGAUUUCUGGUUAUGCAGACCUUACUGUAGCAUGUUAAGGAGUUAUAUUUUAUCAAUGAUUCAAUACCUUAUUAAGAGGAAGGAUUUGAUUAGAUUAGUGUUUUAGAAAAAUUAAUUUGCUAGUCAUGAGGGUGAACUACAGUGGGGUAAGAUGAAAGCAGGACAACCAAAUAGGUGGCUUUUAUAAAAGCUUAGGAAACAGAUAGAAAAGCCCAGACUAAGGAAAAUGUAGUAUUGCACUUAAUUUCUCUUAGUCAUUAGGUUUUUCAACAUAAACCAAACCAAAACAAAAUCAUUGCAAAGAAUAGAGCUCUGUUCUUAUAAAGUGUUUCCCUUCAGUUGUGGUCUAAUUAAUUAAUUGUUCCUGAAGUUUAAUUAAAUAGUCAUGGAUAUUUUUAUAAAGGAUGUGGAACAACCAAUUAAAAUAUUCAUCUUGGCCUUUCAAAAUUAAUUAUCCCUUAAAUGCCACAGUCUAACCUAUAUCACAGAUAUUUAAGCAUAAGGGGAAAAAUGUUUGGAUUUGAGUGAAUCAUAGUAUUUAGUCUAUCAUAUUCUCAUAGGGAAAAUGAAAGGUAAUUUGAGAUAUACUACAGAUCAGUGCUAUUCAAUAAAACUAUUGGUGACGAUGGAGGUGUUCUCUGUCGUUACUGUCCAACAUGGCAGUUCUAGCCAUAUGUGGCUAUUGAGCACUUAAAAUGUGCCUAGUACAAUGGGGGACAUGAAUUCUUGAUGUUUUUAAAAUUGUAUUUAAUACAUACAAACUUAAACUGAAAUUUAAAUAAUCACAUGUACCCUAGUGGCUACCUUGUUGAACAGCACAACUCUAUAGACAGUGAAAAAUAUGCAGACUCAGUUGGACAAUCCUGCAAUGUGUGGCUAUAAAGAAGGCAGUGCAGGGCAGAAGAUAUAAAGUAGGGCAGGGGCUCAGGAUGGAAUUUUAUUUCAGCGCAGAUAAUUAAUGAGCUGCAGAUAUGAAUUUGCACAUAAACGUAAGUUCUCUCACUUGUACUAUGAAGUGAUUGGCUGAAUAAUCAUGACUAUCCAUUUAAGCUUCAUGUUUCUAUAGAAGUAAGUGAUUGUCACAGUUCAGCUGAAUAAGAUCUUGUUGGAGAAAAUGGCUUAUUUUCCACACUUUUCUUCAUUUUUAUAAAACUGGUCUAGGUGUAAAUUUGAGAUGCAAAAGUCAAGGAUAUAUAUUUUGAGUAAGUUGAAAAUGCAAAAGCAAAUAUGUACAUUUGCUGAAAGCUAUUUGUUUUCAAUCUAGUAAUUUAUAUACGCCUUACUUUGUAAUUUUCACUUAGUGUCUUUCUUUUACUACAUGUUACCUUCUAUGAUAGGCAGCCUCAAUAUGACUUUCAAUUAUCAUCACUUCCUGAAAUUCAUACCCUUGUUUUGUCUUCUUCCACACAGGAUUGGUCUGUGUAAGUAUGGCAGAAGUGAUGUUAAGUCGCUUAUGAGAUUAGGGUAUAAAAGACUAAGGCUUCCAUGCUUCCAUCUUGGUCUCUGUCUCUCAGAGAACAGUCAUGUGAAUGAUUCUUCUUGAAAGUAAAUCUUCCAGCCCCAGUCCAGUAUUCAAAUGAUCCAGCAACAUUGCAACUUAUGAGAGACCUUGAGCCAUCCAGGUAACAUGCUUCCAAAUCCUGACCCUUAAAACCUGUAAAAUAAUAAAUGUGGUUUUAAACUCUUAAGUAAUUUGUUACAUAGUAAUAAAUAGCUAAUACACCGUCCUGACUAUUGUCAUUCUUUACAAUAUUUCAUAAGCACUAGUCAUUAAACUAUCUGUAGUCCCUAAAAUAUUUAUCAAUCCUUUAAGCCUCUAUAAGUUCACAGAUUUUUAUGUGUAGAUAUUUAUUCCUCUGUCAAAUAUCUAAUGCAAUAUUUUCUCUUUCAAAUUUGGCUAGUGUCCUUUCUAGAGAAUUUUAUGACCUCACCAAUCUGAAUUAAGCACCAUCGCCAUUCCUGGUUUCAUAGAAGCAGAUGCCCAUGUCUAACUUAGCACUAGUCACACUGUUAUGUUCACAAGAUUGUAAGCUACUAAGAUUGGGACCUUAGUUUUAUUAAGUUUACAUAAUGUCAGAUACAUUGCCUAGCAAAAAAGAACUUGCUUAAUUAUUGUUUUUUAAAAUUAAAUACUAACAGAAUGAAUGGUUAAACACCAUUAAAUAAAUAUGUUAGUUCAGAUUAUAUAUUGAUGUAUGGUCAUUAGUUUCCUACAAAAGAGAAAUUUCAUGUUUUUCUAUCUAAAUGUAUAAUGCUCCCUCCAGCCCUACAGACAUACUAUUUUUUUCAAAAGAAUAAAGAGACAUGAACAAUAUAAAUUCAAACUGCAAGACGGUUGUGUCACAUUUCCUGGACUAUGUUGUAGCCUCCGUUUUGUAGCUGCACCUCCAGGAUAACUUGUGAAUCCUUAGGGUCAUGGAAAGAAGCCCAGUAAGUGGAUUUCUUUCUGAACAGGGCUGUCUUUGUUUCAUCAUGGAGCACCUUGUCCUCUUCAUCCAGCAUUAUGAUUUGCUCUUGGCCUUUCUCUGGGACACAAUAUGUGGCUCAUAGUUCUGAAUUAGAGGAG